UUAAAGAAGAGAAUCUAUAUUAACUUUUCUUUACUCAAAUAUCACUUUGUUGCUUGAACAACAUCACUUAUUUCACACUCCCUCGUAUUCCAAACAACAAUAAAAACUUUAACUCUUUAUCACUUAAUAAAUCAUCUAUGGAUUGAAUGAUAGGACCCCAAAUAAAAAUCAUUUUCUUAUUAUUUCUCUUUCUCAAGUCAUAAAUCACAAGUAUUAUCAAUUAAAUAAUCACAACAUCUUUACUGAUG
rnacentral:lncRNA from 1 species